rnacentral:rRNA from 1 species
UUAUCGGUACGGGUUGUGGGAGCAAGAUCCCGGAGAUGGAUUCUGAGACAUGAAUCCAGGUCCUACGGGGCGCAGCAGGCGCGCAAACUUUACAAUGCGAGCAAUCGUGAUAAGGAAACCCUGAGUGCCUGUCGGUGCAGGCUGUUCAUAUAUUUAAAUUGUAUGUGAAGAAAGGGCAGGGCGAGACCGGUGCCAGCCGCCGCGGUAAUACCGGCUGCUCGAGUGAUGGCCACUAUUACUGGGUUUAAAGCGUCCGUAGCUUGAUUUUUAGGUCUCUUGGGAAAUCUUUUGGCUUAACCACAAGGCGUCUAAGAGAUACCGGGAAUCUUGGAACUGGGAGAGGUAAGCCGUACUUCGGGGGUAGGAGUGAAAUCUUGUAAUCCUCGAGGGACGACCUAUGGCGAAGGCAGCUUACCAGAACAGCUUCGACAGUGAGGGACGAAAGCUGGGGGAGCAAACGGGAUUAGAUACCCCGGUAGUCCCAGCCGUAAACAAUGUGCGUUAGGUGUGUCGGUUACCACGCGUAACUGAUGCGCCGAAGAGAAAUCGUGAAACGCACCACCUGGGAAGUACGGUCGCAA